UGCUAGACGAGUUUGAUCCUGGCUCAGAUUGAACGCUGGCGGAAUGCUUUACACAUGCAAGUCGAGCGGCAGCGCGGGGGCAACCCUGGCGGCGAGCGGCGAACGGGUGAGUAACAUAUCGGAACGUACCCAGUCGUGGGGGAUAACUAUCCGAAAGGAUAGCUAAUACCGCAUACGUCCUGAGGGAGAAAGCGGGGGAUCGCAAGACCUCGCGCGAUUGGAGCGGCCGAUAUCGGAUUAGCUAGUUGGUGGGGUAAAGGCUCACCAAGGCGACGAUCCGUAGCGGGUCUGAGAGGACGACCCGCCACACUGGAACUGAGACACGGUCCAGACUCCUACGGGAGGCAGCAGUGGGGAAUUUUGGACAAUGGGGGCAACCCUGAUCCAGCCAUUCCGCGUGAGUGAAGAAGGCCUUCGGGUUGUAAAGCUCUUUCAGCAGGAACGAAACGGUGGUCCCUAAUACGGACUACUAAUGACGGUACCUGAAGAAGAAGCACCGGCUAACUACGUG
rnacentral:rRNA from 1 species